rnacentral:rRNA from 1 species
AGAGUUUGAUCAUGGCUCAGGAUGAACGCUAGCGGCAGGCUUAACACAUGCAAGUCGAGGGGUAACAGGUUCCUUCGGGAAUGCUGACGACCGGCGCACGGGUGAGUAACGCGUAUGCAACCUUCCUGUAUCAGGAGGAUAGGCCUUGGAAACGAGGAUUAAUACUGCGUAAUAUUAUUUUAUCGCAUGGUAGAAUAAUCAAAUUUACGGAGGAUACAGAUGGGCAUGCGUACCAUUAGCUAGAUGGUAAGGUAACGGCCUACCAUGGCGAUGAUGGUUAGGGGUUCUGCAAGGAAGAUCCCCCACACUGGUACUGAGACACGGACCAGACUCCUACGGGAGGCAGCAGUGAGGAAUAUUGGUCAAUGGAGGCAACUCUGAACCAGCCAAGCCGCGUGAAGGAAGACUGUUCUACGAAUUGUAAACUUCUUUUGUGACAGAGUAAAGAUAGCUACGUGUAGUUAUUUGCAAGUAUGUCAUGAAU